GCCCUAAACCUCAGUAGUUAGAUAACAAAACUACUCGCCAGAAUACUACAAGCAACAGCUUAAAACUCAAAGGACUUGACGGUGCUUUACAUCCCCCUAGAGGAGCCUGUUCCGUAAUCGAUAAACCCCGAUCCACCCCACCCUCUCUUGCUCAGCCUAUAUACCGCCAUCUUCAGCAAACCCUAAUGAAGGCCACAAAGUGAGCGCAAACGCCACUGCCGCGAAUACGUUAGGUCAAGGUGUAGCCCAUGAGACGGUAAAAAAUGGGCUACAUUUUCUAUUUCAGAAAACCCCACGAAAACCCUUAUGAAACUUAAGGGUCCAAGGAGGAUUUAGCAGUAAAUUAAGAAUAGAGUGCUUAAUUGAACCAGGCCAUAAAGCGCGCACACACCGCCCGUCACUCCUCUCAAAUAUAUUUAAGGAAUAUCCUAACUAAACGCCCUAAUAUUUAUAUAGAGAGGAUAAGUCGUAACAUGGUAAGCGUACUGGAAGGUGCGCUUGGAUAAAU
rnacentral:rRNA from 1 species